rnacentral:misc_RNA from 1 species
AGCAGCCGCGGUAAUUCCAGCUCCAAUAGCGUAUAUUAAAGUUGUUGCAGUUAAAAAGCUCGUAGUUGAAUUUCGGGAUCAGUUGGUCGGUCGUGCCUCGGUACGUACUGGUCAAAUUGAUUCCUACCUUCUGACGAACCACGAUGUCAUUAAUUUGGUGUCGCGGGAAAUCAGGACUGUUACUUUGAAAAAAUUAGAGUGUUUAAAGCAGGCUCGCGCUUGAAUACAUUAGCAUGGAAUAAUGAAAUAGGACGUUUGAUUCUAUUUUGUUGGUUUCUAGGAUCGACGUAAUGAUUAAUAGGGAUAGUUGGGGGCAUUAGUAUUCAAUUGUCAGAGGUGAAAUUCUUGGAUUUAUUGAAGACUAACUACUGCGAAAGCAUUUGCCAAGGAUGUUUUCAUUAAUCAAGAACGAAAGUUAGGGGAUCGAAGACGAUCAGAUACCGUCGUAGUCUUAACCAUAAACUAUGCCGACUAGGGAUCGGAUGAUGUUAAUUUUUUCAAUGACUCAUUCGGCGCCUUA